rnacentral:lncRNA from 1 species
GUUCCCCUCUCCCUGGGGUCGCCGGCGCUGCGUCCCCCCGGCCCCGGGCGGCACUUCGGGGCGGUGGAGGCGGACGGGGAAGGCGGAGUCGGGACAUUCACCGGGGGGACAAAGGAAAAGGAACCGCGGCCGGACGGGGCGGGCCGGACACUGUGGGGGGGGGGGGCCGCCGGGGGGGGCCCUGCAGCUCCUAUAGGGCAGCGGGGGGAUCGCACGGCACUACGGGUCCUAUAGGGCGUGGGGGUUCCUAUGGGUCUUAUGGGGUUCCUAUGGGUCCUAUGGGUCUGUGGGGGUCCCUAUGGGGGCCCUGUACAUCCCUGGAGUUCCUAUGGGUCCUAUGGGUCUGCAGGGUUCCCUAUGGGGGCCCUGUACAUCCCUGGGGUUCCUAUGGUUCUCUGGGGGUCCUUAUGGGUCCUAUGGGUCUGUGCGGUUCCCUAUGGGGGCCUUGUACAUCCCUGGGGUUCCUAUGGGUCUGUGGGGUUCCCUACGGGGGCCCUGUACAUCCCUGGGGUUCCUAUGGGUCUUAUUGGGUUCCUAUGGGUCCUGUGGGUCUGUGGGGUUCCUUAUGGGGGCCCUGUACAUCCCUGGGGUUCCUAUGGGUCUCUGGGGGUCCCUAUGGGAGUUUAUGGGGUCCCUAUGGCUCUUAUGGAUCUGUGGGGUCCCUAUGGGUUGUAUGAGUUUCUGGGGGUCCCUAUGGGUCCUGUACAUCUCUGGGGUUCCUAUAGGUCCUAUGGGUUCUCUGUGGGCCCCUGUGGGUCUUAUAGGGCCGCGGGGUGACCACACGCCCCUAUGGGUCCUAUAGGUUCCUAAGGGUCCCUAUGGGGUGCGGCAGAUCCCAAAGGUGUCUAUAGGUCCCCACGGGUCUCUGUGGGGCCCUACGUUUCCUAUGGGUCUCAAGGGUGUCUGUGGGCCCACGGGGCUCGUAUGGGUCUCUAUAGCUCCCUACUGGUCUCUUAAGGGCCCUCAUAGUUCUCUAUGGGUUCUAUAGGGCCUCUGUGGGGCCCAACGGGUCUCUAUGGGGCACUACAGCUCCUAUAGGUCCCCACUGUCCCAAUGGGUCUCUAUGGGGUCCUGUAAGUCCCCAGGGUACACACGGG